UACAGAGGUGGCAAGCGUUGUUCGGAAUUACUGGGCGUAAAGCGUGCGUAGACGGCUAUCUAAGUCGGGUGUGAAAGCCCCGGGCUCAACCUGGGAAUUGCAUUCGAGACUGAAUAGCUAGGGUACGGUAGAGGGAAGCGGAAUUUCCGGUGUAGCGGUGAAAUGCGUAGAUAUCGGAAGGAACAUCAGUGGCGAAAGCGGCUUCCUGGACCAGUACCGACGUCAGGCACGAAAGCGUGGGGAGCAAACAGG
rnacentral:rRNA from 1 species